CGAAGACAGCAAGACCAAUCCUUCCUCUUCCUCCUCCUCCUCAGCCUACUCAGCAUGAAGGUGACGAGGAUGAAGACCUUUAUGAUGAUCCACUUCCAUUUAACAAACACAGAUGGACAUUGGGAACCAUUGAGAAGUUUCAUACAUUUGGGGUUCCUGGAAAGAGAUCCCAGAAACUCUGGAAUAUCAUCCUCAGGCAUCCGAUGUUUACCGAGUGCCUUCUCUGCCCCACCCACUGUCUCAACACUGCCGGCACAGCAGCGAAUGUAAAAGACGUCAGGAAUGGCCAAAGAGUGAGGAAAGUUGGCUGAGUGGAGAACAAAUUGAAAGUGGUCAAGGAUGGAAGCAGCUCCGACAGGAGAGGAGGAGAAAGGGUGGGAGAAAGUCACAGCAAUGAGGAGAGUCUCCAUUUUGUGUUCCUUUUAGUGGAGAAUGGUAUUGUCCUCUCCAGCUUUAUUAAGGUAUAACUGACGAAUAAAAAUUGUAUUUGUAUUCAUGGACAACUGAUGCUCUGAUAUUCAUGCACACCUCAGAGAGAUUGCAGGUUCAAAUCCAGACCACCACA